GAUGAAGAACGUAGCGAAAUGCGAUAAGUAAUGUGAAUUGCAGAAUUCAGUGAAUCAUCGAAUCUUUGAACGCACAUUGCGCCCGCCAGCACUCUGGCGGGCAUGCCUGUUCGAGCGUCAUUUCAACCAUCAAGCCCCCAGGGGCUUGUGCUGGGGCCCUGCGGCUGCCCGCAGGCCCUGAAAACCAGUGGCGGGCUCGCUAGUCACACCGAGCGCAGUAGCACAUCUCGCUCAGGGCGUGCGGCGGGCUCCUGCCGUGAAACCCCCCACUGUAACCCCAAAGGUUGACCUCGGAUCAGGUAGGAAUACCCGCUGAACUUUAGCAUAUCAAUAAGCGGAGGA
rnacentral:misc_RNA from 1 species